ensembl:lncRNA
GUUGAAGGAAACUGAUGUUGGUUCAAGCUGAGAAGGAGAAGUAGGUUCUAACUAACUCUUGUUCUGUUUCUAAGGACACACGGACUCGUCCCCCCUGUGACUCUCACCUGUAAUCUGCCCUCACUGAAAUAAAGCAUCCUCACAAACGGACAAAUGGUCGCUGUGUUCAAAGUGUGACAUUAAUUACAGGUUGAAGUGAGCCGAGCAGAACACACGGCGUUGCUCCUCACCCGUCUGCAGCCAACACCUCGGGCCGGGGGGGGGGAGGUGACAGGUGAGGGAGGUGACAGGUGAGGGAGGUAUGACAGGCGCGACAGGUGGAGGAGGUGACAGGUGAGGGAGGUGACAGGUGGGGGAGGUGACAGGUGGAGGAGGAGGGGAGGGAGGUGACAGGUGGAGGAGGAGGAGGGGGAGGUGACAGGUGGAGGAGGAGGGGAGGGAGGUGCAGCUCUGUCUCCAUGCCCCCCCCCCUCCUUUCUGAGGAAAUAUACAUAAAGGGUCUGAUGUUUCUCAUCAGAUGAGAUGAUUUAUUAUUCAUGAGUUUGUUGUUUGAUUUACAGAAGGAAUUCACAACUUUUAAAAACGCCGAAUUACAGUUUCUCUUUCCAAUGGAAGGUUCCACCUCCUGCUGCAGUUAUUAACUAACAGGACGGUAAAGACAGAACCGAUAAAUAUAUUACGCUUUUAGUGAAUAUGAAAUGUG